rnacentral:rRNA from 1 species
UACGUAGGGCGCAAGCGUUGUCCGGAAUUAUUGGGCGUAAAGAGCUCGUAGGCGGUGUGUCACGUCGGCCGUGAAAACCUGCAGCUUAACUGUGGGCGUGCGGUCGAUACGGGCAUCACUGGAGUUCGGCAGGGGAGACUGGAAUUCCUGGUGUAGCGGUGAAAUGCGCAGAUAUCAGGAGGAACACCGGUGGCGAAGGCGGGUCUCUGGGCUGACACUGACGCUCAUGCACGAAGGCGUGGGGAGCAAACAGG